AUGUGCGUGCUUGUAAAAUGUAAAUGCAGGACCAAAGCCUGGACCCGGAGGGAAAGGCUGCGGAGCCCACCGGAGCACACAGCUUCUCUCCACUGCAUCUCCAGAGAGCCCAGCCGGCUGGCAGACAGCAGGCGGGAAGCCAGCAGCUCGAAGGAGCAGGCUGAGGGUGACCUCGGUUGGGAGAAACGGGAAGAGUCUCUCCAGUGGAGAGGCAAGGGCUUGGUGGCAGACGUGUCUGAGUCUAGGCUGGAUUCCAGGCAGAACCUGCCUAGAAGAGAAACCAUAGAUCAGCAAAAGAAUCAAGGCUGCCAGCGGGUAUGCAGUUCAAAACAGCAGGGAGUAGAAACUCAAACAGAAAACUUAGGUAAGAAGAUGCAUGGCAUCUGUUGAAUCAUAAAUACAGAUCCACUGGACACUUUUCAGUGCCUUUGACACACGAUCACUCUUCUGCGUCCUACAUCAACUUCUCCAGCCCCUCUUGGCUUCCUCAGCUCCUCUGAGACCACACUUUCCCGUGGCUUCCUGCUUCUCCAGCUACUCCUGCAGGCGCUUCUUCACCUCCUCUUAUAAAGACGGGUGCUCCUGGCAGUUCUGUCCUGGCCUCUGCUCUUCUCGCUUUGCACAUUCUUCCCCAGUGAGCUCAUCCGCGUGGCUUUGACUGGUUUUCAACUAUUUGCUGCUGACUGGCAAACCUUCAUCUCCAGCUACUCACUCACAACUCUAAACCCUUCAGGGUUCUCUCAGAACCUUGCGAUUAACUUGCACUGAAACUACAGCCAUGCCUUCACCCUCUGCCUCCAUCCCCCUGCUUUUCCUGAAGAACUAGAGUGUUGGCUCAGAAAUGAUUACUGAGUAGCUCAAGUCAUCACUGUAAUCAAUCUCAUUAUAUUACCAGGGUCUUUAAAACUGUGGAGCAUGACCCAUUGUUAGGACUAGAAUUAAUUUGGGGAGUCACAGUUAGCUUUUUCAAGAACAGAAGAAUAUAGGAUGAAAUACAAUGGAAUGGGAUAGAAAUCGCAGAAUUUUUGCCUCCCUACUAAGAGUAAACACUGUUUUAAGAUUUUUUGUUUUCAGUGUGUAUGCACUGGGUUAUAAUAAAAAUUUUAUUUUUUUACUGUGGGUCA
rnacentral:lncRNA from 1 species